CGGUAACAUUUCUAGCUUGCUAGAAGAUGACGAGUGGCGGACGGGUGAGUAAUACUUAGGAAUAUGCCUUUGUGUGGGGGAUAACUAUUGGAAACGAUAGCUAAUACCGCAUAACGUCUUCGGACCAAAGGGGGCUUCGGCUCCCGCGCAAAGAGUAGCCUAAGCGAGAUUAGCUUGUUGGUGAGGUAAAGGCUCACCAAGGCGACGAUCUCUAGCUGUUCUGAGAGGAAGAUCAGCCACACUGGAACUGAGACACGGUCCAGACUCCUACGGGAGGCAGCAGUGGGGAAUAUUGCACAAUGGGGGCAACCCUGAUGCAGCCAUGCCGCGUGUGUGAAGAAGGCCUUCGGGUUGUAAAGCACUUUCAGUUGUGAGGAAAGGUUGAUGGUUAAUACCCAUCAGCUGUGACGUUAGCAACAGAAGAAGCACCGGCUAACUCCGUGCCAGCAGCCGCGGUAAUACGGAGGGUGCGAGCGUUAAUCGGAAUUACUGGGCGUAAAGCGCACGCAGGCGGUUAUAUAAGCUAGAUGUGAAAGCCCCGGGCUCAACCUGGGAAUAGCAUUUAGAACUGUAUGACUAGAGUCUUGGAGAGGGGAGUGGAAUUCCAGGUGUAGCGG
rnacentral:rRNA from 1 species